AAUAGAUACCCCGGUAGUCCACGCCGUAAACGAUGGAUACUAGCUGUUCGGUCGCAAGAUUGAGUGGCUAAGCGAAAGUGAUAAGUAUCCCACCUGGGGAGUACGAACGCAAGUUUGAAACUCAAAGGAAUUGACGGGGGCCCGCACAAGCGGUGGAGCAUGUGGUUUAAUUCGAUGAUACGCGAGGAACCUUACCAAGGCUUAAAUGUAUAUUGACAGGACUGGAAACAGUUUUUUCUUCGGACAAUUUACAAGGUGCUGCAUGGUUGUCGUCAGCUCGUGCCGUGAGGUGUCAGGUUAAGUCCUAUAACGAGCGCAACCCCUGUUGUUAGUUGCCAGCGAGUCAAGUCGGGAACUCUAACAAGACUGCCAGUGUAAACUGUGAGGAAGGUGGGGAUGACGUCAAAUCAUCACGGCCCUUACGCCUUGGGCUACACACGUGCUACAAUGGCCGGUACAGAGAGCAGCCACUGCGCGAGCAGGAGCGAAUCUAUAAAACCGGUCACAGUUCGGAUCGGAGUCUGCAACUCGACUCCG
rnacentral:rRNA from 1 species